CUUGCAAUGAUCAUGUUGUGGUUCAUUCAGUAGAGUAUUGUUGGUAUGUCGUAUUAACUUUCUAAACCUGCCCCAAUGUGUAUCUAAAAUUUAAAAUAUGUCUUGCAAAUGUCUCGCCUUGUGUUGCUGCAGUCUGUUGUCUUCUGUCUUGUCGUCCAUACGGCUGAGAGAGAUCCCAGUGCUGGAGAGAGAGGACACUGCACUGGACAAGGUGCUGGAUCUUAAGGUUUGGUUGACCAGCAUGCACACGUCAGCCUUGGAUCAUGCAAGCAAGUCCACAGCGGGACUGACAGGUCAAGGCAGAGCAGAGCAUCGUCACUGCAGGGCUCCAGAGCAGAAACA